GACGAACGCUGGCGGCGUGCUUAACACAUGCAAGUCGAACGGGCCCGCUCUCUUUUUUGGGGGUGGGUUGAGUGGCGAACGGGUGAGUAUCACGUGAGUAACCUGCCCCCUGCUCCUGGAUAACUGCUUGAAAGGGCGGCUAAUACGGGGUGUGCCGGCUGGUCCGCAUGGGCCUGGUCGGGAUAGUUUCAUCUUCGGGUGUUUCGGUGGGGGAUGGGCUCGCGGCCUAUCAGCUUGUUGGGGGGGUGAUGGCCCACCAGGGCGGUGACGGGUAGCCGGCCUGGGGGGGUGGGCGGCCUGCCUGUGACUGAGCCACCGCCCAGACUCCUGCGGGAGGCGGCGGGGGGGGGUGUUGCGCGAUGGGCGGGUGCCUGAUGCAGCGCCGUCGCGUGAGGGAUGGAGGCCUUCGGGUUGUGAACCUCUUUCUCCGGUGGUGAAGGCCCUGUCCGUUGCGGCGGGGUUGACGGUAGCCGGGUAUGAAGCGCCGGCUAACUACGUG
rnacentral:rRNA from 1 species